AUACAAGGAGUGUAAAAGGAAGCACCAGUCACUGGUGAAGGUAGGAGAGCUAUAGACUCAGCUCAAGAUGAAGACAGCAAUUGCAUGCAUACUCUUCUCCUUAGUGCUGGGUGCCAUCUUCUCAGAUGCAGCCAGCCAAGUGAUGAAGGCAGGUGGAUCCAAUAAAAACCAAAGGCCAGAUACUUUUACACAGAAGGUGAAACCAGGGGCUAAUGGUGAUCAAGAAGAAGAGAAAAGUGGGGGUAAAUUACCUACUGGCAACACACAGGGUGUUCAAAGUGGCAACAGGAAACUAUCAGAUGACCAGGUUGCCUGUCCAGCACUCUUUGACCCUGUUUGUGGUUCUGAUGGGAAAACCUAUAGCAACAUGUGUAUGUUUAAUGAAGCAAAUAAGAAAAGCAAUGGAAAACUAAACCUGAAACACAAAGGAAAGUGCUGAAUUCCUGGGGGGACCAAAUAUCAGAUUAAUCAUUAUCUAUGUUUUCCUUUAGCUCUUUGCUUCCUAGAGUCUAUUUGUGCUCAGAUUGAGGGUUUGGGGACUUCUAUGAUUGUAUAUCACUAUUCAUUUCAAUGAAUAAUAAAAUCAGCUCUAAACUGGCCUCUUUUUUUUUU
rnacentral:lncRNA from 1 species